rnacentral:rRNA from 1 species
GAUCCUGGCUGAGGAUGAACGCUAGCUACAGGCUUAACACAUGCAAGUCGAGGGGCAGCAUGGUCUUAGCUUGCUAAGGCCGAUGGCGACCGGCGCACGGGUGAGUAACGCGUAUCCAACCUGCCUUACACUCUUGAACAGCCUUCUGAAAGGGAGAUUAAUACAAGAUGUUAUCAUGAGUAAGCAUUUUCGCAUGAUUAAAGGUUUACCGGUGUAAGAUGGGGAUGCGUUCCA